UGAUCAACAUCUUCAGUUUGUCUCUCUUUAUGGCACAAUUCAUACAUACAUUUUGUGGCACGCAUUUGCAGGUAGCUAAAAGAUCAACUGACGAAAAGCCUCAACGCAUAUAUUGUUCUAUAGGGAUGGUGUGAGUGAAGCUGUGAAGGCCACGUCCGUGGCGUAUGUGCUAUUUUUACCAUCACGAUCCCUUGUGACUUCCAUUUUUGUAAUUGCUCCAUACAGACCUGGAGUUGUAAUAGUUCCACGUUUGUCUUUGUUACUUAUUUGUGUUUGGACUUGAGCUGAGGUGGAUGGUGUACGUGGGGAUUUGGAUGUCAGUCUGAGCUGCUGUGAUAUAUAUGAACUUUUUAGUGUUGAUUAUUUCACAUGUGACCUGAAUAUGUUCGAAAAAGCGAGAUGGUAAUGGCAAAAUUUUGACUUUUUUUU